rnacentral:rRNA from 1 species
AUGUCAAAACAAUGUUACUCUUGGAUCCAUAUCCUAUCCGCUCGUAAAACCGCAAUAAUGCUUAAUGGUGUUCCGGGAGACUGGAUCAACUACAAAAAUGGUUUGCGCCUAGGACACCCACUUUCCCCUUGUCUCUUUAUCAUAGUGGCAGACUUACUACAGCAACUCAUCUGCCAGAAUUCCCACCUACUUCACCAUCCGAUCUUUACACACCUACCACCAACCACCAUGCAAUACGUUGAUGAUACCCUCGUCACUGCCAAGGCAACUGCUGCCGCUGCAACCGCUCUCAAAAACAUCUUGCAAGAUUUCGUCCGAGCCAAUGGUCUUUCCAUUAACUUAUCUAAAACCACUUUUGUGCCGAUGAAUUUACGUCAACAACUAGUGUGGAAUCGCUACUUUGCCCAAUCUCCUCCUUCCCCCACAUCUACAUCGGACUACAACUCUCACCCACUCGACUACCCUCUGAUGCUUUUCUGCCUAUUUUGCAAAGCUGUUGCAAAGACCUCGCUGGUUGGAAAGCCAGCCUAA